rnacentral:rRNA from 1 species
UACGUAGGUCGCAAGCGUUGUCCGGAUUUACUGGGCGUAAAGGGCGCGUAGGCGGCCUGCUAAGUCGAACGUGAAAUCCCCGAGCUCAACUCGGGAACUGCGUCCGAUACUGGCAGGCUUGAAUCCGGGAGAGGGAUGCGGAAUUCCAGGUGUAGCGGUGAAAUGCGUAGAUAUCUGGAGGAACACCGGUGGCGAAGGCGGCAUCCUGGACCGGCAUUGACGCUGAGGCGCGAAAGCCAGGGGAGCAAACGGG